ensembl:lncRNA
GGGAACCUGAGGGCAGGAUAAAGUUGGAGAGGAGGAUAUGGCCUGAUGAGGCAAGGCUUUGUGGUCUAUGUCGUGGAUUUUGACCACUAGCCUAAGAGUGUUGGGGUGCCGAGGCCAGCAUAUGGCUCCACAGGUCAAGGAAAAGGUCCCUUCUAUUCUGUUACUCUUGUCCCCAUGGUCCAAGAUGGCCCAUCACCACCAGGCCAGCAUUCCAGCCAGCAGGGAAGGAGAAAAGAAGGCAUAGAAAGCAAUCCACAUCUGAAACAGAUCUGUGUGGGCAUUUUUAAAGAUUCUCCUGAGGUUUUUGGAUGGUCCAGCUGAAGGCAGAGAGUAGAUUUCUCAUUCUUCUCCUAUCACUGUCCCCGUAAUUCGGACAUCUUAGUUUACUCACCUGCAUAAAACAAAGAGAGGCUUCGGCACAAGUUGCUGCACCCCCGCCUGGUGUCUGUGUCUUUUCAUGGUGACCUUUGCUGGACGAGCUGCUGCAGACAUCACAAACUCUCACAUCAAUUUGCCACAAUUGGAUGUGGCAUCUUGCAGCUAAUUUGAUUUGGGAAGAAAUGCACCUGGCUCUGUUUUUUCCCUCUAGAAUGUGGAGGGAGUUCUGAGUCCUCGCAGAUGCCAUCUACCCGAGGAGCCCAUGUGUUUUUCAAGGUCUAAGCAGUUUGUCUUCAUCUCCCCAAAUACAGCCCGUUACAAAGGGAAAGGAGCUGAAUUAUUUAAUGCAAAAAUAAAUUAGAUUGGCGUCAGAGAGGGAGAAAGAGAAACAAAGUGAACUGAAAAAUACUACUGUUGACGUAACUUCCAGUCCUCUUUCCUUAGAAGAGAAGCAAACCCUUUUUAUUUGGCUUUUCAACUCUGUAACUUCUCUUUGUUUUUAUCACAACAAUUAAACAGAAUUCCCCCCAUAUCAGAAUUCUAAAGAAAUGCCAACCUAUCAAAUUCAUACUAUUUGAAAGACAUACAAACACACAAAUAUAGCUGUAUGGUUUUCGUUUGUGUUUUUUUUUUAAGUUGCAGACUGAUUUGAGGUUGUGGAAAAUAGAUAAAAUGGUAAUGCGCUUAAUCUAUUAUUGAUGAAUUUAAGUAGAUCAAAGGACUGCUUGUUGAAGGAAAAAUACGAGUCUCAGGCCUUUUAUUCAGUGACCCACAUUUUAUCUCAAUUAUACUCCAGAUAUUGAAAAACAAAAUAAUCAACAACAACAACAACAAAACCAGCCUUACAAACAGGAUUUACAGUGAAUAGGUGAGGAAGGUCUGAAGGGAAGGGGGAGAAAAAGGAUUAUUGAGUUUUUGCCCAGUGAUGUCACGCAUUAGGUUUAACUUGUGUUGGCAGGGGGGCUUCCUAGAGAGAUAAAUAAAUGUUAAUUGUAUAGAACUCUCCAAGGCUCACAUCUUACCUGUGACACACUGCCAUAAGAAUACAUAUAACAUGGCUUAUGUAAAGUAAAGUGGGGGCAUUCUUUGGAAAAAUAAAUCCGUUAUUUUUAAAAAUGAGACUAUCCUGGGUCAAAGGUUGAAUCAAGGCAGUUUUACACAUAACUCCAGUUUUAAGGGUCUAAUUCCACACGAUAUACAUGCAUAUUUGAAGUAAAGAUGGGGUGGGAAUUUGAAUGAUCUUUCUCAGGCAAAGGAAGGGAGCUGUGGCUACUCUAAGCAACAUGAGGGCGAGGACCAUUCUGAUUUUGCUGCCCCACCCCCCAUCUCUGGUGCCAAGUCUGUAGCUGAUGCUCAGUAAAUAUUUAUUGAAUGAGUGCCUGAAGCUUUAUAACUUCGACACUCAGUUUUCCUUUGCAUAGAUAAACCUAAUCCAAAUAUGUCUAUUAAUAGCAGCCUGACCUGUCAGAGAUAACUAAAGGAUUUAUGAGCCUCGUGGAUUGCCCAGUGGGUUUUUCUUUACAGAUGGAGUGUAUAUGAUUAUUGUUACCACAAUUCCCUUGCACACUUUUGCCUCUGCUUCCCCUG